GGUGCUGACAGCAUCUGUAUUUUGCGUGUUUCAAAUCUUGGCAUUAACUUAUUGCGCUUGACAGACUGCCUAUCACGCAGCCUGAA